AUAGGAGACCAAAGCCUGGGCCAAGAGAGAAACCCCACUUGCUGAGGCAAACUCCCCCUGAGGCCUCAGCAGGGGUGGGGUUGGGGGGAUCAGUAGACUCAUCCUGUGGCCUAAGGUUUCCUUCAAGGCCACUUGGAGUCUAUGCCAGCAUCUGGAAGAAUGCCAGAUGGCGACGGAAGCCCAGUACCGUAUUGUAAAGUGGCCAGGAAUGGCUUCCCUCAGACUCAAAAAGUUGGACACAAUGGACCUGAAUAGGUGCUGCUGUAUGAAUUUCUUCCCAGUAGCAUGGGAUGAAGAUUAUAGUGCUAGCAAUUUUGGGCCAAUGGAAAGCUCCUAAAUACUAAAUUUCAGAAAAGCAGGAAAUGGAAGAGCUUCUAGUUCAAGUCAAGUUGUUACUAUACCUGCUAUCUAGCUAGAAAUGUGGUCUUAUUUGUCUAGGCCAUAAAAUAAAGCAAUUAAGGGUCAAA